rnacentral:rRNA from 1 species
UACGGGGGGGGGCAAGCGUUUGUUCGGAAUUACUGGGCGUAAAGGGCUCGUAGGCGGCCAACUAAGUCAGACGUGAAAUCCCUCGGCUUAACCGGGGAACUGCGUCUGAUACUGGAUGGCUUGAGUUCGGGAGAGGGAUGCGGAAUUCCAGGUGUAGCGGUGAAAUGCGUAGAUAUCUGGAGGAACACCGGUGGCGAAGGCGGCAUCCUGGACCGAAACUGACGCUGAGGAGCGAAAGCCAGGGGAGCAAACGGG